rnacentral:tRNA from 1 species
GGGGCUGUGGCUCAGCGGUAGAGCGCUCGCCUAGCACACGUGAGGCCCUGGGUUCGAACCUUAGCACCA